CGGCGCUGGCCGCCUGGGAGCGGGCCCGCCUGGAGCGCGAGCGGACGUACGGCGCGGACAGCCGGGCCGCCACCGGCGGCGGCGA
rnacentral:tRNA from 1 species